rnacentral:tRNA from 1 species
GCCAUCAUAGCUCAGUCGGGACAGAGCCAGACUGAAGAUUUGAAGGUCGCCGGUUUGAUUCCUGCUCCUGGCA